ensembl:lncRNA
AAAUAUUCCCGUAGGGGGAAAAAAGCCCUUGGCUCAGGGUCAAAACAAGUCUAAGCUGCAUCUAUAAUAUUUUGCAUCACGCAUAGUCACAAAAACAUGAUAAACAAAUUUUACAUUAAAAGCGAAAGUGCUCUAAAUAUUCAUUCGCAUCCACUAAAAUGCAAAUGCAUUUUUUUCUGCAACGUCACGCGUGAACUUCCGGACGCGUAUCACAGAGCUGUCUCUCACUUCGAAAUACAAGGAUUUGGCUUCGCAGCAACAUCAUUGCCCCAAUAAUGUUGCACAGAAAGAUCUCUAGAGCAUCCGCUCUGCAUGUUGUUUCUAAACCAACCGUCCAUCUCUCGGCUUGUUUAGAUGCCCAGUGACCUGAGAAAGUCAUACAGAUUUGAAACAACAUGUGCAAGGCUGGAUUAUGGAUAGAGCCAGUAGGCCCAACGCCCCAGGACCUCAAUUUGCUAGGGGCCUCCAAAGCCUCAGGCUGCACAUCCUAAGACUGCCAAAGUAAGCUGAACACCAGGGUCCUCUGUGCAAGGCACAUUUCCUCAUUUCAGCAGAAUAUGAAAUGAACUGGCAUUACAGACAUCUACUCUGUGUGUUCUAAGGCGGACUCGAUUCAUGACACCAGCACUGAACAUGAGGUUUCUCACAGGUCGCUAUGCCCCUUUAUGCAGCAGAUGGGAGACACCGAGAGAGAGAGGAAGGAAGAAAAACAAGAAAUGAAGACAGGAGGGAAGAUUUAUAUCAGAACCCCACUGUUAGGAUUCUCCAUCAUUGCCACAGUGACAGGUUACCUGGCAACGGGAUACACAAUGGUGCGGUAACCGUGACGACAGUGCAGUGGUCUGUCUGGCCAAAGACAAAGGUUUGAGAUGGACAGGAGAGCCUCAGACGGCAGAGAAAAGGUGAAGUGUGUGUGUGUGUGUUUGAGAGAGAGAGAGAGAGAAUCAGUCUAUUUACUUUUUUUAAACUCUCAAUAUAUCCAUUCAUGAGACUGAUAUUAUUAUUGACACAAACACACAUGGACGGACAGAGUCUCCCUCUCUUUUUAAUUCUCUCUCUCACACACACUCUGACACAGUGUAGUUUCAGUUCAAUAGCGCUUUAUUGGCAUAACUGUCAAAAUGCAAAAUGCCAUAGAAAGGCAGAGUGUAAUUAAUGAAGGUGCACGCAAACACACAGUGUGUUUAAUGUACGCUGACAGGUGGAUCUAUUGCUCUUGUCAGUGAGGUUCUCUGUAGACAUACAGACUUGAUUAAAGGGCUUGUGUUUUAUGUGAGAGUCAGUGUUGUAGUACAAAACAAACCGAGAACAAACACAGCUAUAUACACACAGACAUCUGUGUUUUAUACAUGUAAUAUGAGCAAAUUGUGUGUUUGUGUGUGUAAGCCUAUGUGUGCCAGUGAACACUCACAUAAUGGUUUUUAUGCAGGGAUAUACCAGACAAAACUAAAAGCCACAGGCCAGGAGGUUUUACAGUAUAGUGUCAAGUUCUCACACACACACACACACACACACACACACACACACACACACACACAUUUUUGCAUCAUUUUGUUAAUAUCGCUAUUGUUUCUCCUGAACACCAAAGCAAUUAAUUCAAGCAAAUGGAGACUUUUAUGUCUCAAGCUUUUGUAAGAAAAAAGACCCAG